rnacentral:rRNA from 1 species
GUGCCAGCCGCCGCGGUAAUACGUAGGGGGCGAGCGUUAUCCGGAAUUACUGGGUGUAAAGGGUGCGUAGGCGGUCUGUCAAGUCAGUUGUGAAACCCCAUGGCUUAACUGUGGGCUUGCACAUGAAACUGGCAUGCUUGAGUGCAGGAGAGGAAAGCGGAAUUCCUAGUGUAGCGGUGAAAUGCGUAGAUAUUAGGAAGAACACCAGUGGCGAAGGCGGCUUUCUGGACUGUAACAGACGCUGAGGCACGAAAGCGUGGGGAGCGAACAGGAUUAGAUACCCUGGUAGUCCACGCCGUAAACGAUGAGUGAUAGGUGUUGGGGGCGAAUUAGAUCUCGGUGCUGAAGUUAACGCAUUAAGCACUCCACCUGGGGAGUACGAUCGCAAGAUUGAAACUCAAAGGAAUUGACGG